UAUAAAUGCCCCUCUUUGCUC
rnacentral:piRNA from 1 species